UACGUAGGCAGCGAGCGUUGUUCGGAGUUACUGGGCGUAAAGGGUGCGUAGGCGGGUCUUUAAGUCAGGGGUGAAAUCCUGGAGCUCAACUCCAGAACUGCCUUUGAAACUGCAGUGCUAGAAUCCUGGAGAGGCGAGUGGAAUUCCGAGUGUAGAGGUGAAAUUCGUAGAUAUUCGGAAGAACACCAGUGGCGAAGGCGACUCGCUGGACAGGUAUUGACGCUGAGGUGCGAAAGCGUGGGGAGCAAACAGG
rnacentral:rRNA from 1 species